UACAGAGGGUGCAAACGUUGCUCGGAAUCAUUGGGCGUAAAGCGCGUGUAGGCGGCACGACAAGUCAGCUGUGAAAGCCCUCGGCUCAACCGAGGAAGUGCAGCUGAAACUGUCGCGCUAGAGUGCUGAAGAGGGUGGCGGAAUGCGCAGUGUAGAGGUGAAAUUCGUAGAUAUUGCGUAGAACACCAGUGGCGAAGGCGGCCACCUGGGAAGCUACUGACGCUAAGACGCGAAAGCAUGGGGAGCAAACAGG
rnacentral:rRNA from 1 species